rnacentral:rRNA from 1 species
CCUGCUUUCAGUUGCUACCGGGUCAUGCCGAGCACUCUGAAAGGACUGCCCAGGAUAACGGGGAGGAAGGUGGGGAUGACGUCAAGUCANCAUGGCCUUUAUGCCUGGGGCCACACACUUGCUACCCUGGCCCGUACCAAGCGCUGC